rnacentral:rRNA from 1 species
AUAAGGUUAAGUUAAUAAGGGCGCACGGUGGAUGCCUUGGCACUAGGAGCCGACGAAGGACGUGACAAACGACGAUAUGCCUUGGGUAGCUGUAAGUAAGCGAUGAUCCAGGGAUUUCCGAAUGGGGGAACCCAACAGGUAAUACCUGUUACCUACAUCUGUUAAGGAUGUGAGGAGGAAGACGCAGUGAACUGAAACAUCUAAGUAGCUGCAGGAAGAGAAAGCAAAAGCGAUUGCCUUAGUAGCGGCGAGCGAAACGGCAGAAGGGCAAACCGAAGAGUUUACUCUUCGGGGUUGUAGGACUGCAAUGUGGACUCAAAGAUUAUAGAAGAAUGAUUUGGGAAGAUCAGCCAAAGAGAGUAAUAGCCUCGUAUUUAAAAUAGUCUUUGUACUUAGCAGUAUCCUGAGUACGGCGGGACACGUGAAAUCCCGUCGGAAUCUGGGAGGACCAUCUCCCAACCCUAAAUACUCCCUAGUGACCGAUAGUGAACCAGUACCGUGAGGGAAAGGUGAAAAGCACCCCGGGAGGGGAGUGAAAUAGAACCUGAAACCGUGUGCCUACAACAAGUUCGAGCCCGUUAAUGGGUGAG